rnacentral:sRNA from 1 species
GCUGGGUGUGGUGGCGCAUGCCUGUAAUCCCAGUGGCUCAGGAGGCUGAGACAGGAGGAUCCGGAGUUCAAAGCCAUCCUCAGCAAUGGCAAGGUGGUAAGCAACUCAGUGAGACCCUAUCUCUA